rfam:Ictidomys tridecemlineatus contig001986, whole genome shotgun sequence.
GGAGUUGUGGCUCAGUGGUAGAGCACUCUCCUAGCAUGUGUGAGGUUCUGGGUUCAAUCCUCAGCACCA